GCGCACAAGCGGGCAGCUCCUCAGCCGUGAGGCGGCCAGCGCCCUCCUAGCCCCGCGGCGAGGCAAAGGAGACCGGCGCGGUGGGCAACCCGAGGGUUACAGGGAUGCCGAUCCCCUAUUUCCGCAUGGGGCACAGCAGCGGCCGGCCACCCUGCGCUCCCCUUCUGCCUGAGCGGCUGCGCAGAGCCGAGCGGCGCGGGAUGGUGGCUCUCCCCGCCCCGGCCGGGCCGCGGGGCGGAGCUGCGGGAAGCGGCCGCUGCAGCCGGCCCUGACUGUCUCGGUACCGGGCUGGGCGCCCCUGGGAUUGCCGUAAUUUCCCCCCGACCCCCAAUCCCUGCCCUUCUGCCUCGCGGUGCCGGGGCCCGGAGCGGCGCAGCCCGCUCCCUUCCCGCCGCCGCGCAGGCCCGGCGGUGCGAGGCAUGAAGCUGAGCAAAGCCCAGUACGAUGAGAUAGCCCAGUUCCUGGGGCACGUGCAGCCCACCCGGCAGAGCCUGAGGAAGCUAAAGGAGAAGUUCCCUAGUCAAUCGCAGUCCACUCUGCUGAGCAUCUUCUCCCAGGAGUACCAGAAACAAAUCAAAAGAACACAUGCCAAGCAUCACACCUCUGAAGCUGUUGAAACUUACUACCAAAGGUACCUGAAUGGGGUGAUGAAAAAUGCAGCUGCCCCUGUGUUACUGGAGCUGGCCAAUGAGGUGGACUUUGCCCCAUCAUUAAUGGCUCGUAUUGUGUUAGAAAGAUUUCUGCAAGAAAAAGAACAAGUCAUUCCCUCCAAAACUCUUAUAAAUAGCAUGCUACGGGACCCUUCUCAGAUUCCAGAUGGAGUACUAGCAAAUCAAGUCUAUCAGUGUACUGUGAACGACUGUUGUUAUGGACCACUGGUGGACUGCAUCAAACACGCUAUUGGGCAUGAACACGAAGUCUUGCUGCGAGAAAUGCUUUUGGAAAAAAAUCUCUCUUUCAUAGCUGAAGAUCAGCUUCGUGCAAAGGGUUAUGACAAAACACCAGACUUCAUUUUAGAAGUGCCAGUAGCUGUUGAAGGACAUAUAAUUCACUGGAUUGAAAGCAAAGCCUCAUUUGGUGAUGAAAGCAGCCACCAAGCCUACUUGCAGGACCAGUUUUGGAGCUACUGGAACAGACCUUGAACUGGAGCACAAAUGAAUAGCACAGCCUCCGUAUCAUCUACUGGGCAAUGACCGUGUAAGAAGGGUAGCUGAGUUACUGCUAAAAAUGUACAAAAGUGUGGCACAGUUAUGCAUGAAGGUGCUCCAUGAUUUUCUUUGUUGCUGGACUUCCUGAGGCUUGAGGCCUCGUAAUCACCCAGACUACAAGAGCAUGGAAGAGCACAUGCACAGCAAAGUGCUUUCUGUUUUCAACUUGUUGUGUCCUUUUCAUCCCACUCAUCCCCUCUGGUGUGGUUGGGCUAUUAAGUGUGGUAGUGCUUCAGCAGAAUAUACGCCACAGUCAGAUAUUCUCCAAUCUGCAGCUGAUGGGCUUCUGCACAAGCAUUAGUUUUUAUCACUUCCGUUGGGCUUGUAAGUCCAAUAGAAGCUCAAGUCAAAUGCCUUCUAUUUCCAUGACAAAUUUUGCUGGCGCUGGUCUCUUUUAUCUGGUGACCAAUGACAGAACCCAAGGAAAUGGCAGGAAGAUGUGCCAGGGGAGGUUUAGAUUGGACAUCAGGAAAAAGUUCUUCACCCAGAGGGUGGUGGACACUGGAACAGGCUCCCCAGGGACGUGUCACGGCCCCAAGCCUGACAGUGUUCAAGAAGAGACUGGACUAUGCCCUCAGACACAUGGUGUGAACUGUGACGUUGUCAUAUGCAGGGACAGGAGCUGAACUCCAUGAUCCUUGUGGGUCCCUUCCAACUCAGGGCAUUCUGCGAUUCUGUAUUUUUAGGCUUUCUUCACAAGCAUAACUACGACAUACUGGAUAGCACAUUUGUUUUUUUUAUUUUCCUAAAUAGUUUGCAGCACACUGGUCAGGUCUCAACAGGCCGUGCAUCUUACCUUUCUUCUGGUUCCAUUUUGCUAAAACAUUUUAGAUGGUUUUCAUUUAUCCUUAAUUUAUUAAAUAUAAGCUUAUUACAUAAAUGCAUUACAGUUGUGCAUGCAAUAUCUUAUUGUCUGUAAUCUGGGUCUAUGUUUUUCAUCUGCGCUUGGACUGUGUCUAAGCACUCCAUAGAAAGUAAAGGAAAAUAAGCCUUUUGUAUGCAAAUUUGUAUUCAUUAUGUAUAUUGCAAAACUGCUAGGCAUUUACAAAUUGUAAGAGACAAAUACUGAUCUACGUGCUUAUCCUGGAGGAGUGUGUGGCAGACUUUGCUUAGAUUUCUGCUGCUACAUGUAUUCUGGGAAACAGUGGAUGUUGCUGUUUGUCAAACCAUACAGUAUGUAAAUUUUGGGAGUUAUGUAUUCUGGAAGAUUAAGGGCUGAUUGAAUGGGGAUAAGAGGAAGCUUUUAAAAAGCUAAAUGUAGUUAGUUUUUUUCUUUCUCCCAGUAGCACCUUAGACUGCAUGAUUUAAUAUACUAUCAAAAGGAGAAUAAUUCAGCUGAAAAUAUGUUCUGAGAGAAUUUGGUGACACCAUACCUUUCACCCUCUGAGAACCUGUAUGUCCCUGAUUUUGAGUAUAAAGAGAAUACUAAUAUUCAGGUGAUAUUCCUUCUGUUCUCAUCUGCAAGUGAGAAUAUUCAACAUGUCAAUCUGUGUUCCUUUAGCAUUUCCUUUAGUUUAACACCAUCUUCAAAAAGUGAGCAGGAAUCCAACUGGAAAGGUACAGGUGACUUCUGCCUGAGGAGACAAGUAAAAUUAAUUGGCAAAUUAAUUACAAUAUUACUAGACUAGAGCAGAAAUUGCUGACUUCUUUUUUGCCCAUUUGAGACCACUUGCAUUACGUUCAGAAGAAUGUAGUAAGAUGUGCCAGCAAACCCACGGUAUAAAAAUCCAACUUUGAGGUGUUAAAGGUUUAGCUGAUGCUAGCAGAGACUGCUGAUAAUUUUUAUGUAAACAAUAUCAGCUACCACGUUGUUUAUCAAAGCACAUAGGAAGAUGGUUUCUGCUUCUAAAAGUUACAGGAUGAUCACAGCAGACAGGGGCACCAGCAUCUGUCAUGGCACUAGGAGGGGAUUACCCGCUGUAUUAAGCUGUUACACUUUCUCACUGGAAACUGCUGUCUGGACACUUUCAGUGUAAGAAUGUUUUUGUGGUGGAAAAAUUGCUGUAGUCUCAACAUACUCAGUUAAGGAUUCAGUGUCAUCGCCAAGUAACAGUGUAUGUAGAAGUGACAGAACUGAAAUCUGAGUAUAAAGUUAUUAAUUGAGGGGUGAUUAAGAUGGCAUGUGAUAUCCAUAGGAGAUGUUCAGAGAGCUUUGUAGUGGGUACAAUAGCAAUGAUUAGAAGAAGGAAUGCUGAUCCCUUCAUGCAUGAAAUAGUUUAUCCCACUAUGGAGCCCAGGAAACUAAUAAAGCUUCUGUGGACCAAAGCCAUAGAGGCUUAUUUUGACCAGAUUAAGACAUUUGCUAGAAAUGCUUGCCUUGUUUUUUUCUUUCUCUUUUGCAAAAAGAAAUGGGGAAACAAGCAGUUACAUCAGAAAAGGCAAAUCGUGAAAAGAAUUAUUGUAGAGUUACUCUUAUCACCAGAGAUCAAUCCUUGUAUUUUAGAAAAAAAAAAGGUUUUAACCAUGUUCUAAAAUUUGAAAAUAAUUAAAUGGAGUUUUUUCAUUUUUUACAGUGAAUUUUAGUGACUCGAAAAUGCCUGUGAUUCAGGAAAUGUGAGCAUAAGUUAACCUGAUACUGAUUAGAAACCUGGAAACAGAUCAGCAGAACAUAAAGCAGCUAUUGCACAUAUGUCUUGAUAACGUCUGUAAAUGUUUCUACAUGAAAUACACAGAUGAGGAUUACAAAGAUUCUUACUUUUCAAAAUGUUUAUACUAUUUCAAUCUACUGUUUUCUAGAAAGGCUCUUCUAUAUUUCUCUGUCAAAGGAGUCUUUAAGACAAGCAAAUUCUAUAAAUAUACCUUGGGAUAGUAGACAAUAUAUAAACACUUCUCAGAUUUCUUUUGUGUAUACUAUGUGGUUUUCCUUUCAUACCAUAGUUACCAAAAAUUCACUGUGUAAAUCACAUUAUAUGUUGUUUGUAUCAGAGUGGAAAAAUAUAAUACGCUGCAUAAUUUAAAAUGUCAGCAUCAUGAGUUGCUGAUAUUUUCCACUGCAUGUGAAUACCAAGUUGAAUGUUCAAACAGUUUUUAAUAAGGAGAUAGCAUUUGUUUCAACCUAUCAAUAUAUAAUUCCUCAGUACAGAUGCCAUGUAAUUGCUUUAUCCCAGAGGAAUGUGAAAGCCGCUGACAAAGUGAAAACUUGAAAGAAAACUUCAGUGGGAGCUAAAGGUCCCAGUUUCUUUUCCAUGUCCUAAAAUUAGUAAAGAAGAGGAACCCUUCAGUUUUAAUAAAUAAGUUUGAGAAGAAACUGGAAUAGGAAUCAACUUCACUGCUUUCCCUUCUUUAUACUACAAUUCUAAAGAGAUCUCUAUCUGCUGAAAUUUAAUACGGUGCAGUAUCAUUGUCUAAGUUUUCAUAGGAUUUGACUGAACUUCAUCCCAACUAAUCAGUCAUUUUGUGAGAGAAGCUGAUGUCUCAUCUGCCAUUUUCAUGGGAAAAAAAAAAAAAAAUAGAGGCAACAAUCCUGCUGCCUUUUGCAGGUGUACUCGUCUUUUUACCUAAGGCAAACUUGUACCAUACAAAGAUUAAAACUCAGGCUUUCAACAUAAAUGUUUUCAAGUAUUUUUAACAAGUAGAAUUAAGCAGAGGUGCAAAUAUGUGAUCCAUCUGUAGCAAUUAAUAACUGUAUUCAGUUAUAUGUUAAAAACAUACAGGCAUUGUUUUGGCUUAAAUUACUUUGUGCAGAAGUGAUCCCAUAUUAGGAUCUAUUUACCAACAAAUAUUUAAAUUUUCAUUGUCUUCUGAAUUCAAAAGUAGAAAGCCUCUUGCAGUCUUUGGGCAAAGGGAUAAAAACACAGAAAUGGGAAAGAAAGUUGUCCUCGCACACUGAUAGUUUUCACCUCUCACAACUUUUUUUUUUUUCCUUUGCUACAGUUAGUGACAUAAGGAGUACUUUAACUGAGCUUUUAAUGCUUUUCUUGAGGUAAAGAAAUUCCACCUUCAAAUAUUAUCCUAAGUCCUAGGUAAUCCAGUUCUUAAACAGUAGGUCUGCAGAGAAAGCAAUAGAAAACAUUAUGGAGAAGAAAGCCUUUAUGACAUGACUAAAAAAAAAAUCUGUUCCUACUGUUGUUUAACAAUGACUUUUGAAAUACAGCACUUCUAAUUUAGUUUUACUUGAUACAUAAUUAAACUACAGAACUCACUAUGAUUGUGUUAUUGCCUCUUGAAGUUUAUGAAAAACAUGAGUAUUUAAACAUCAUUUUAUACCAAUUUAUGAUAACAAAAAAGAUUGUUUGCUCUUUCACAAGAUGAGAUAUAAAUACUUACAAGAUAUAAAAGGCUUGUCAAAGAAAUCUCUAAUUGCCUUGAAUUAAAAAGGUUUUGAAAAGAUAUCUAGGAGGUUGUAUUUUGCGUUGUUUUGUUAUGUUUUUGUUGUUCUUUUUGAAGCAGAGUGGUUACUAUCAAGAAUAGAGGACAAAACUUGGAACACUUACUUUGGUAUUUUAUAUCAUUGUUCUUUUUCAGUUUGAUGAUAUUUUUAUUAUGUGAACCUGCUUUUUAAAAACAUAUUAUGUCUUUUCUCUAAGCAAUAUGAAUUAAGAGUAAAAUCUCAACUUUGCUGUUAUUUUUCAUAUCUGGAGAUUUUCUGUUAGCAUACAAAGUGGCUUUGGGUUGAACUAUUUCCCUGCACCAUUACACAUUAUGUUAGUUAUUGUUUACUGCAUGUAUUGAAACUACACCUGAAAGUCCUAAUAAAAUGUGUUAGAAAUUGACAUAGAACAGAACAAGAGAUACUUGGUCCUACAGAAUUUAAUGUUCAAGUAUAAUGACAAGAGUCAACAGAUGUUUAUAGUGCAGUGCAAAGAGUCAAUAAGAUAAUAUUGGCCAGCGUAGUAUUCACUGAUCUGAGUAUGUCAGCAGCCUGCUAAAUUUUGCAUGUGUUUUGACAGGUGAGAGAUUUAGAGGAAAAUAACAGAUUGGUUUUGUUAAUGCUUUUUGCGAAUUAUUGCUAACCUUGAGAGGCAAUUGGGGAUAAAGGAUAAAGGUGGUUUGCCAUUUCAGUGUGGGAUUUGACAGUUUGCUAGAGAAAGGAGAGAGAUGAUAGAACUGUGAAAGGCAUGUAGGUCUUCCUCUGUAACAGGUCUUCCACUUUCCAGGCACAAAGAAAGACAUUAUAAACUUAAAUGGUCCCACUUUUUUUUUUUUUUGCAAAAUUGUUUUGGAUGGAGAUAAGUGGAGCAGACUGCACUGAUCAAGUUCAUAGAAAGGUAUUUUGCUGAAAUACAGAGAAGAAGUGAGCACUUUUAAGGAAAUCUCAUCUGUGUUGAUGAAAUGAGAAAGUAGGAAAUAAAGAUGCCCUGAAGAAAGCCAGAUUUGAACAUGCCAGAUACGAGGAGCUACAGAGGGCCAUAGGUGUUUUUAAUAAAUGAGAUGAUCAUGUUGACUGUAAUGAUUACAAAAGAAGGGUGAGAAGAAUAAAGAUUAGAAAGUUCUGUUUAGCUACAUUGCUAAUUUUCUGGUUUUGAAAUACAUAGACUAAGUUGUCAGAGUACAGGCAUCAUCAUUAGUUUCAACUUUUGUGAGACAUACCUGGGGGAGUGUAGACCUCAUUUGUCAUCCCAUUUGUUAUUGACCUGUGCACCAUGAAAGGAGAGGGCCCAAGUGUAACUUUGAGAUAUCCAUUAUGAUUCUAGGUCCAUAUGUCCUCAUUGUACCUUUACUAGCAAUGAAGUUUCCACCACUUUUCGUUUCUGAAUGCAUGCAACAUACUCAUGACAAGUUAGUUCUUGGAAGAUCUGAGACCCAUAUGCUAAAUGGGAUGCUUUGUCAAGAGAGACACCUCUUCAAGCACUCUUGUGAUGAUCUCGAGUUCAUACUGCAAGGCUCUACCCAUAAACGCAAGACAAAUCUGCUUUUAAGACAACCUGUUGCAAUGCCCUGAAUCAGUAAGGUGGAUGUACUCACUGAGGUUGCACUUAAAUUAGAGUUUCUAAAUAAGAUUCUCCUACAUAAGAUUCAGAGAAACUAAGCUCAAAGCCCUUGGGAGCUCCCAUGUAGAGCUGUAGAAGAGUUCUGGAAAAUCCUCUACAAGACAUACAAGUCUAAAACAAACCUCCCAGAUCUCAAAUACCUAGCAGGAGGACACGCACUUUCUGACUGAAGCCUUUCAGAAGCAGUGGGCCCACAUUUGUGCCUGUGAAAUGCAGACUAAAGCAGUGUGUCAAGUCCCGUGGAGGUAUGCAUAUGCUCCUGCUUCCAUUGAUACCACCUUUUUUAAUUGAAGUCAUAGAAAUCUGGUGGUUUGGAUGUGUGGAAAACCCAGUCAGGUAACAGUUAGCAAAAAUAGUUGAACUGUGUACCUUCAGAGCAACUCUUCUGUUGAACAUCCAAACUACGGCUGAGAUACCAUCCUGAACUGCAACCUAUUGGUUAAUACAUUCAUGAGCCUGGAGGUUAUGCUGGGAAUAGAAGAUGCAAGAGUAACAAGAGGAAUGUUCUACCAAAACCAUACUGACUAUAGCCAGAACUGGAAGAUAAUAAUCUUCUUCCUGUGAGAGAUCUGGUCUGUAGGUAACAGGUCUUUCUGUUUAGCAUUCUACAUUAUAAGUAUUGGAUUUGUUCUUUUCCCUAUUUCCACAAUGGUACUAUUAGGGGAUUGUAUUACUUACUUUUAUAGGGAAACACUGAUACUGCCAUUUGAGAAAGUUCUAGGGAUCUUGUUUAUAUUCAAGUGUUUUUCAUUUAAAUCGUGGUACUGUUUAACUCUUAGCCCUGAAGAUAGAGGGAGGCUCUGCAAUAUUUCAGAGAAUAGCUAAGAAAACUAUCACUUUGAGAUUAAAUGAGAUAAAUCUGAUUUCAGAAACUCACAGAACCUUAAAUAAAUAAAUAAAUAGGAGGCAGUGAAGGCCAUACAAGUAGCUUUAUGUUACAUUACUGCUAUUAUUCCUGUUGCUUGAUCCCUUUGGUUUUCUGCAUUCAAAACAAACUCUACCCAAACCUUAGGACUCAUGGACUUCAUGAACAUGCAUUUCUGCAUAUGGAAACAAUUCUUUUGAUACCACAGUGCAGUCAAUUUUGAUGCUUUAAAGGUCAAUAGUUUACGAUGUUACAGGACAAUUCAAAUUCCAUUGACCUCAUCAAAUUCUGUAAGAGAAUGUAUCAGGCAUAGUCCCAGAGAGUUAGUAACAGGUUUUCAUUGUUGCCCCUGCAAAAGAUGCACAAUGCCUUUUUUUGUCCUUACUAGUACACCCAGAUUUAUAUGGUUUCUUGGUUCUUUUGGGAUUUCAGUAGAAUUUUUUACCUUAUCAUGACACAAAUAUCUUGAUGUUAUCAAUUCCAUGGGUUUAAUAGUGCUACCUUUACCAAUAAGUUCUAUUAACUUGUUUUUCAAGACAAGAAGAUACUCAAAAUGUUUUUAAAAAUCUAAAAUACACAUUGGCUCUGUUGUGUAAACUGGUCACUGUAAUUUUCCUCUUGAAGUCUGAAGAACCAUCUGCAGCUUUUAAGUACAUAUAUAUUCCUAAUGUACUUUGGAGCUUUAAUUCUUACAUUUAUUUUUCUGAUUCUAUAUGUUAUCCAAAUUAUCCUAAUUAUAUACAUCAUACGAAUUAUCACUUUUUAAGAGGGAAAAAAUGCUUUCUGAUUUUAUGAGAAGCUUCAGCUUGGCCUAUAUUCUGAAAAGUUCAUGUUGUUAAUAUUAUGGAAGAGCAAAAUAACCUGCAAAAAUCCAUACAGGUCAGCAUUCUUACAUACAAACUUAGAACAUAUGAAAUUACGUUGUGCAAGUAAUGAAAAUUAAAUCAGGACAAAAUUGGAGAAAGAAGAGAAGGAGGAGAAAACGGAAAGUAUUGAGUUAGUGGAUAUAUGCAUUCCUAUUUCUAUUGUCAACAUGAUCUUAAACCAAUUGUAUUACAAAACUUGGAGUAUGUGUGUGUUGUGACAACAUAGUCAGUCUCUUCAGAUUCAAUUUCUUGUCCUCCUGUGAUUGGUAUAUGCUGCAGUCCUGCUAUUCCAUGUGUAUUCAUCUCCACACAAGAAGAAAAACUCUGAGGUUUUUUUCAGCAGUUACCUUUCUCUUCGUGUUUUGAGGUGAUGCUUUCCGAAGUCCAAGUUGAAGUCUUGUUCACUUAAAGUUUAAGAACAAUAUUACUGUUAGUAUUUCAUUUGAAUAUGAAAGAAAUGCAGUUUUCAUGUGAAAAACACUUCUUUUUCUCCAGUUUCAAAUCAAAUAACAGAACAAAGGCACACAUAACUUUUACUUGCCAUGCAGCCUAUGCAGGGUGUCUGGGGUAGAACUAUAAAUAGUAUGGAAAAUGAUGAUUUUUAUAUUGUUCUCUAGAUUAAAUCAUUGUUUUGCUAGAGACAGUGGGUAGUUAUCCACUAACUGCAUUGGGCUGUGAUUUGACCUUGUGACAGUGGUUCCCCCUUUGUGACAGCGUGUUUGCCAAGCUUGCCUUCAGAAGUAUAUAAUGUUGUUCUUUAGAGUGAGCUAAGAGUCUUGUAAUUGAAAAGUUCACAAGAAACCUUUAAAAAUGAAAUUCUAAAAGUAUCAGAGGUGCUAAUAGUCUAUGUGCAUACUCUAGGAUUGGCUGUUGCUAAUGGUCCGAGCUUUAUAUUACAAAUCAAAUUCAACCUGAUGAUCCUGUGUUGCAUAAGCAAAUUCUAAAUUUUGUUUCAAAAGUUUUAAAGUAACUGUGUCACUGGAGAUACACGGUGUUGUAAAACAACUGAUAAAAUAUCAUUUCCUAAAUGCAGAUUUUCGUGACAUCAAAACUGAAGGAACCAUCAAAACUGGAAGUUAUUUCAGUCACUUGUGCGAACUGUGAACACUCAAUCGUGAAGUGCCUGUGCAUUGCUUUGUUUUGUUUGUCCUCUGCAAAAGACUGGAUGUUUAAUGCAAAAAAUUGCAUCAUCAAAUUUUAAAGUUGAAACUCGUUAGUUUCUUGAGUAACUUAAAGGUUGCUAUGGUAACAUUAGCCCAUGCAUUUUUCAGCUACUUUAAGUAAUAGUUAUGUAAUGAACAGUCUUGACUAAUCAUCAAAGUACUGUAUGCAAAGUAGGUACAUUAAUGUUAUGACAAGUUCUGGACCCAAUUCAGCAUGCAGUGAUUGGUUUAAGUUCCUAACUGAAACUGUUUGCCCAUUAUUUUUGUAUUUAAGACAUUUAUAGCGGAAUUUCUGAAUGUAGCUAUUGGAAGUGCUAAUAGGUAUAAUGUUAUUAAUUGUGUUUUUGAAACCUGCUGAUGUGAAGGUACAGUCUCCCUGUUGUCAUCAUCUUUAUUGUAUUGCCUAGUGGAUGCAGCCCUUGUGGAUGUGUGUAUGCAUGUAGAGAUUUUUAAAGUGUAGAUGAGAUGGAUGUUUAGUUACGAAGACGCAGACACUUAUGGAAUAGGAAAUUGUAAAAAACCAUGUGCUCUAUUUUUGUCUCUUCCAGGGUGCAACUGUUGCAGGUUUGGGUGGAAGAGGGGGCUUUGCUUCUUAAGGCAUAUGAAUAGUCCAUAUGCAAUUUUCAACCUGAAAGGCUAAACUGAUUUUCUGUUUUAAGAUCUGAAGUUAGAGGAGAUAUAACUUCAAAGUGAAUCAGAGCUAUGUUUAUCCCUCUUAUAUGUCAGAGUUUAAGUGCAAUGUUUUAUGUAUACAGUCAUCAUGACAGUUAAAAAGGCUAUAAAGAAAAGCAAUUAUAUAAUUGCUUUAAAGAAUUAAGUAGCACGGAUAAAGGCUUUUAGAAACUGCAGAGCAGUUUUAAUAAUUAUAUCACCUGAAGUCAAGCUGCAAAAUUAUGUCCUAAUUAUUUGCAAUGAGUAAUUAUCUAUAAAGUUAUAAGCUUUGCAAGAUUUUAUGGGAGAGCUGGGGAAUUCUUUGGUUUUUUUUUUCCCACACACACUAAAACAACACCCCGUCAUUUUCUAUUUUAGUAGUUUCCACAACUUAAACAUUAAAUUCUUAUUGUUGCUUUCUCUUAUAUUAGUAGUGUGUGUUUUGCAAUUCUAAUCUUCACGUUCUUCUUUCUUUAUCACCGAAGUAGGCCUUUUGAAGCCAGGGAAUUUUUCAUAGCAAUAUUGACAGUGUUCGCAUUUGCAUGAUGACAGCCAAGGAAUGGAGCAGUAAUUUUUGAAAUUGCAGAAGUAUUUAGAACACUGAUAAAAGCUGAAAUAUAUUUUUGAUGGAUUGAAGUUAAGCAUACAUGAUUUUUCCUGCUGUCAGAAGGCUCUGAAUUUAGUGAAUAUUUGCCUGCUGUGAGAAUGCAAGAUUAACAUCACAACCAUCACCCGGGCACCCAAACCCUGCAAUUUAAUAGCUUUUUAGGUUCUUUCCUUUUUCUAAACAGCAAUUAAUCUCAUUUUAGUACAAUUUUCUCGUUUCUGAAGUCGCUCAUUGAAUCGCUGUUUUGUUCAUAUUUGGCUUCAGCUCCUCUGCAUAGUCAUUAAAGUCCCAAUUAAUGUCACCUUUAGCUGAAGAGUACUCAUUUUUAUUGAGAAAAUGACAGUUGCUGCCAUGAGUAGUGCAGUGUAAUAUACAUUAAUUGCCCUGUAACACUGGUAAUUACGAGUUUUUCAAGCCUCUCAGUAAACUGUCAUGCCUAGACAAGACUGUGCUAAAAUAGAUUACUCAUUAGGGAGACCUGUCCUGUUUUCUGGUGGGUUCUUAGUGUAGGUUUAAAAAAAAUCUUGAGUUUGAACAAAUAGUUGCCAAAAGCAAUUUCCUACAACAACAUGUCUGUGUUCAGUUUUCCAGCCAUCACUUAAGCCUGCGGUCAGCAAACAGACAGGGUGCUGUGGACUCUAGAGAUGUCAAGAUCUCAAUGUUUAUUUAGGUGGAUCACAAGGAUAAGCUUAGCAAUUCAUAAUUCAGUGCUUAAUAUGGAUAUUAUUAAAGCUGCCUUUUUCACUGUUGUGUUUAUAACAGGUCUACCUGACAUUUUAGAAGAGCAGUCAACGUUAUCAAUAUUUUAUGCCCCAAACGACUUUAACAGAGUACUACAGACUGUCUAGUGAGUUGGAAUUACUAAAUCCAUUCUCAAAUAAUUCUUGUAUAGGAGCAGCAGGGAUUAUGUUGCAGAUUAUGUGGAAUAAUUAUCAAAUCUUUCAGGAGCUGUAUGGCAUUAUAAGGUGUUUUUUGUCAGAAAAUUAGAAAAAAUAUGUGGAGAGAAUUCAGUUAAUAUUGUGACCCCCUCUGAAAAUCAGGCUUCGUAUUGUAUAUUGUUAAAAGACUUACCUGCUUACCUGAGAUAUGGUGGGAAGCGAGUGUUCUUAAUUUCAGAAGGAAUGUAUUUCACUGCUUUCUCUUUCCGUCUCUCUCAUAUUUUAUGUUUGUUUUUAAGGACAAAGUAGUCUCCUUUAAAGCUCGUGGUAGCACUGGACUGACAAAAGAAACCUUUGUUUUAUCUUUGUUAUAACACCUGCUUUAGGCAAUCUGCUCUUUCACGCUCUUUCUAAAUGAAUUUUGUCACAGCCUUUCAUAUUCUCUUGCAGAGACGAGCUAAUGAAAGUAGAUAGUACAAUUUGUGCUGACCAGGUAGCAACUGCCAGCUUGCAGCUGAGGAUAGUUUAAAGAAAUAAAUAAAAUAUAGCAUUAUAUCGCUGAUUUAUCCAUUACAUGACAUUAAUAGUGAGAAACCUUGGUGUGUUUAUCUGUUUGUAUUGGUGUGCGUUUAUCGAAUUGUUUAUGACAAGACUAAUUGGGGUAAUUGUAGACACUGAAAUUACCUGUCAGCUAUAUGUAACCACACUCCCUUUCUUUCUGACAAAUGAUGACAACUGAGGGACCCCGUAGCAUUACUCAUGAUGGCUUUUCGAGUGGUAAUAAGGACAAUAGGGGCCCUGGCUAAUUUGACAUGGACAGCCUUCACAACAAGAAGCCAGCUAAAUGACUUGUCAGUAGGGGAAAGAAGUCAGAAAAGUAAUGGAGUCCCCCAUGGCGCUCUGACAGGGAGAUGAGGCAAUUUCAACGGAAAGUGAAAAGGCUUCAGUUUGUCAAGUAUUUAGAACAAUCAGAGAACAGCUAGAGGCUGGAACCUGACAAUAAAUUUGUGAACCAUGGUAGCAGUUUCAUAUAGGUCAGUUAUUUCAUAAUGGCUGUGAAGCUUUCAGAGGUUUCUGCUUUCGUAGCGUACUUCACAUCAGCCAACUGGUGCUUUGUCACCUUAAAUUUGUGCUUCACUUUGCACAGUAGGAAUAAUGGUUAAGGUUACACAGGAACGGCAGUGUGAGACAGCAUGAUUUGCAGACACCAAUCUGUUGAAAAAUAAACAAAAAUUUAGAUAGUAAUAGUGUGAUUGCAUCCAUUACAAGCUAGCGGUGUUAACAUGUUCUUUAUGAUUUUGGCCUGCACCCUUUUUAUGGAUAAGUGGAGUACUUUCUUUCUCGUGGACAAAACUAAUAAAACAUAAGCCCCUGUUCCUAUCCUUUCACCCUACUGUACAUAGUUAAAAUUUCUUCAGGUUCAUUUCCUGCUGCUUGCUCUUGAAAUGUAUUCCAGUUCUGUGGUGUUGACAUCUAUUGAGACACUAUAACUGGUGGUACAAAAGGAGAAUUUAUGAUUUUUUGGGUGCUCUGCAGAAAAUGAUGUUAAGGAUUCAAAAACAAAAUUUAAAAAAACCUUGCAGACUUAAAUAGCAGUUCUGUGUCCCACUGAUAGUGGGUCUUUUUAUCUGUGGCUUCAGGAGUCUGUUAGGUUUUUUGGGGACUUGCUUUUUUUUGUUUUGUUUGCUUGUUUUCUUUGUUUGUUUAAUUAUCAAUGGUUCUUACCUAUUUAUUUUCACUGAGAUUAAAAAAAGUAUGAUGAAAGCAUCAUUUCGGUAUUGCACUGUGCCUUCUGAAUUCCUGACACAGACUCCUGAAUUCCUUAAAAGUGUUUAUGGAUUGAGCACAGAUUUAGUGAGAAGUAUCAACUUGUCCUUUUUGGCAGUGAUUUUUUUGUUAGAAAAUAGGAUUAAAUAUAUUUAUUUUAUUUUAAUGCUUUACGUAUGGUCUGAUUCCUUCCUUUUACCAAAUGUCUUGUUUCUUGCCGAUUUUAAAGCUAGUGCAGCAACUAUUCGUUUGAGUACUGCGUAGAAUCUAGCUUUUUUAAUAAGUGCUUCAAGAUGUCUCAUUGCACGAUCAACACAUUUCUUGACCUGGUCUUACUAAAUUUAGCUACAUAAACAUUUUCUCCUUCUCACUUAUUUAAAUGUAUAGCAUAGAAUUUUCUCUCUUGCUUAAAGGUCAUGGAAUAGAAACUUUCUGUGCCAUAUUUAAAAAGUAAGACUGCUUCGUUGACAUGAAUCCUGCUCCCCCACCCCCAUCCAUCACCUUUUCCUCUUUUUUUUUAGAGUUACACUCUUGCUCUUUGAGUCUCAUCACUCAGAUUUGAAGGAGUCUUAAUUUAGGCCAGCCAGGAACUUGGCCCUUGAUUCCCUAUACCUGAACAUUUCAAAACUGUAUUGCGUUUCUUGAGUUGCAGUGAUAUUGUCAAGAAAAUAUCUUAGUAAACUGAAGGAGCUUGUGAUUCUCCAGGAUGAGCCAUUGAGUCUAAGAUUAUAAAUGUAGUUCCCCUGUCCACACACACACAAACCACACCUAGGAGGUGAUCAUUUAAACAUGGUAUAUCUGCACCUGAAUCUCCUUUAUUCUGGUUGCCUGUCCUGCACAUGUUCAUCUAAGUUUGCCAAAUAUUCUACCUAGUUAUUUUCUAAGAUGUUUCUCCAGCAGAACUAAAGAAACUAUCAACAUAUGCUAAAGUAGCACCAGGUCUCUUCUCUGAAUAAUGCAAAAUCUUCCCUUUUUUGUAUGAAAUAGAGCUUUUGACGUGUUUGCAUUCAGGUGCGUCUCAGAGCACUAAAAGAUUAGGAUUGUUUGAACAAUGAGGCCUAGAAUUGCUUCAACAUGCUGUCUUUUGGCCAUACUCUUCCUUCCCUCCCAGUGGAAUCACGAGGGUGUGAAUGGGGCAGAACCUGCCUCAUCGGGCUCUUUGGUGCAGCUGUCGCUGGCUUCAGUGUCGUUUCAAUUGUUUCAUUGCUCAUAACUGCCUUCAGUACUUCCACUGACUUUGUUAGUUCAUCUCCUCUCAGCUUUUCGAGAGAUGUUUUUAGGGUGAGGGUUGUUUUUUAUCACCUCCUCUUCCUCUCUUCCUACCUUCCAUAUGCCCUAAUGUGCUUUGGUGCUGAAGUUUUGUCAUCCACAUCUUGAUCAAAAUGAGAAGCCAAUUCCGUCUAUUUUCACUCUCUGCUGUCUGCAGUCCAGGUGUAUGACGCCUGCUAAAGUCUACAGUGGCAUCCAAAUGGUUGAGAUUCCAGCUACGUUUGUUUCUUUAUUGACGUAUUUAAAUUAAACAAAAUUUUCAUUAAUGACUAAAUACAAAAUUAUUUGAAAUUCUUUUAUAGCAAAAUAUGGACAAAUUCAAAGCUGACAAAGGAAAGGCAGGCAUGGCCCACAAUCUUUUUAAUGAAUGCUAUGUGAAUCCUGGAUGUUGUGUUAUAGCGCACUAUUUUGUUUGGAAGCUGUAUUUUUCCAGUGGAUAAAAGAUCAUUUGCUAUUAUAUCCUUUUUCAUUUUGUGACCUAUUGCUUGAGAAACAUUAACUUCAGAUAACACCUUAAAGAAAGAUGAAGAAGAUAAUCAAAAAAAGAUAAUCAAAAUUCAUUGUUCCGUGUUUAGGAAAAUGUCUUUCUUCAAAAGAAAGAUCCCUUUAAAGUAUCUUAAAAAGUAUCUUAAAUGAGUAGUAUUUCAGUGGUACUAUGAGUUUGUAAGACUGUUUCACAAGGUAGUGGCCAUAUCUUGAUCUUCUAAUGAUGCUGGUUGAAAAUUGUUCCUCGUAACACCUUUUCUGUCUUCUCUUCAAUAAGAGAUUUUCUUGGUAAGUUUGAUUUAGGAGGUACUUUCAGUGCUUUUAUCACAUUUAGUUACUUGUCUUGGAGGUAGAGGAUUUUUCUUUUUUUUCUUUUCCCAAGGCAAAUGCCUUUUUUAUUUAUUGCAGAAGAUAUUAGAGUUUUGGAAGACUGACAGAAGUUACACCUUGUGGUAUGAAGCAUCUAUUUCAGAAUGAAUGAGGACAAUUUAGUUCUGAUUGAGGAAAUACAAUUCUUUUUAAUGCGGUGGAUUAAUUUUACAAAACAUUUAUAAAAACAGCAGUUUAAAAAAUUAAUGACUAGACAUUCCUUAUAGAAUUUGGAUCUAAACUAAAAUAAAUAAUAUUUGUAGGAACUUGGAUUCAAUAAUUUUACUCUUCUAUAAAAGUAAAAAGGUAAAUGCUGAGUAAAUUCUGAAAGGCAUCAAAUGGAUGCGUCAAAGUUUUGCAUCUAAUCUGACUGAAAUAACGGAGGCUAUUUUCCAUUACUAGAGCUUUGAAUACUUCCCUAGUUUCUGUAUUGCUAUGUACUUAUGACUUUUCAUAAAUAUUGUCAUUAUAUAAUGGUGCAUAGGUCUACUGUUAGAAUAUUUUCAAAAUGUGACAUGAGAUCAGUGCAGAAAAUAUUUAAAUGGAGCUUUACAUUUUCUUUCCAUUUAAAGAUACACAGGAGUAGUACAAAUCUGUUUUUUGAAAACCCAUCUCAGUCCGACUAAAGUAUAACCAAUCUAGUCUAUGACAAUCUCAGUUCCUGCAUUGAGUAUCCCUGGAAUGGAAAUGCAGAACAGAAUCAUUUAUACCAAAACUCCAAACAGGUCUUUGCAUAUCAAUUAUGUUUCUAUUACAGCAGAUACUGCCGUAUGGCUUUAGGUGAUGUGUAUGUCAUAAUUCUAGGUUUGCUUAAAUAUUGAGUCUUCUGCAGAUAUAAAAUCCUUUCCACCUAUACUCUGUCCAUUACUCUGAAUUCAUUAAAUCAUAGUGAAUAAUAGCAGAUUAUAGUUCUUAUGGCUACUAAAUCAGAUUUUUUUAAGUUCACAGCCAUUAGGAAAAUGUCCUGCUCUGUCCUGUUCCUUUAUUACAUUGUAGAAGGAAAUGUUUUUGCAGAAGUACAAUACCAUGUUCAAUUCUUAAAUGCAGAGCUCUCUCGCCAAAAAAAAAAAAUGUUUAAGACCUUUUAUACUGUGUAAUGCUAACUGUCCAUUCUACUUUUCUGCAAUGUAUUUAUUUUAUUACAAGGAAGCAGUCACUGCAUGAUUAGCAGGUAUAAAUAAGUGAUGAAAAAUCUGAGAUAGUAGGUAGGUUGAAAUAUAAGUAGCUUUACAUAGACAAGUAAACAUAUUUAGAUGUUAUUAAACUACAUAUAAGCAAUGCUUUGUAUGUUUUCACUAACAAUUUUAAUUGCAAAAGAAAUUCAAAUUAUGUGAACUGCACUUGCCCAGUAUGUAGUCUUAAUAUCCUCUCUACCAUCUAUCCCAAUAAGUAUAAUAAUUUUAACUGGCUUUCUCAGCAUUUUCUUUCCCGUCUCUGAAAACUAAGAAAAUAGGCUGACUAUAAAUUUAUUAGACACUGGCACUCUAAAAUCAGGAGAAGCAUCUUCCAGAUAAAAAGAAAAAACAACAGAAGUCACUUUUUCUGUAUGAACAUCCAGAUGGAAAUUAAGCUGGCAUGUUUUCAUGCUAGAGUAUCAAAAAGAGAUGUGGUUGUUUUUAGUGAAAGGUAGUUUAACUUUUCUAUUUUCUCUUUUUAGUUUCUUUAACCGAGCGUUGUCAUCUUUGCUUCAUCCAAGUUUAGCAGUUCAUUUCCUACUCAAGUUUUCAUCUAAGGCUAAAAACUGGAAAUGCAAGGGAUGAUCAUAUGUGUGCCAGAAACUGUAGUUAGGUCAUUAUUUCUUAGCUAAUUCAGAUGGAAGAAAUUUCUGUAUAUAUGUAGGUACAUGUAUUUUUAAUCCAUAAUUGUAAAAUAGUGAUAUAUAGUCUUCACCCUUAGUAAGUGAAAAUCUGCAUGGGUAUUACAGGCAUUGUUUUAUUAUCAAAUCUAAAAUCUCAACCCUGACCUGAGAUGCUGCUAGUAAGCAUCACUACAUCUCUCUGUGAAUUUUACUGUAUACUUGAUCAUUCCGUAAUAACCAAAAAGUGUGGGUGGAUUUUGGUUCAUAUAAAAUCCAUAUUAAUAUGUAGUGUCUAGAGUCACAUGUAAGUACCAGUAAAAGAUGGCAUUAAGUAAAUUAAUCUGGUUAAAUGAUGUGAAAAGUCUGUUCUGGUUAAACUGUCAUUCCAGCAGCUGGCAAAGCCUGUUACGCUAAUAAUUGGAAAUUAUCAAUGCAGGAACUAUUGGAAAUAAUCAACUGCUUUUAGGAAUAUUAUUGAUGACCAAAAUGCCAUUUGCUAUUUUUAUUACCUUUUAUUGUAUUUAGAUUGUAAUUUAACUACCCUCUAAUUAGUUUUGACUUAGCUCAAUUGGAAGUAGUAAAACCUACUUAUCUAAUAAGUGACACAUGUCAUAAAGAAACAUACAACCUCCUUAUUUCCCCUAGGUCAGUCAUCCAUGAACUAAUUAACUGAAUUUUUGUUUCCCCGCUUUUUUGAAGAAAAGCAAUACAAUUGAAUUUGUCCUUUUCCCCCUCCCCAAAGCAAAACACAGAAACAAGCACUUUUUUUUCCCUUUAGCUGCAUUCUUAACUGUUAAAAUGUCCUGAAGCACUCGAUCACGUUGCAUUUUAAUUUCCAAGCCAUGUGUUGGAUUAGUGAAGUGCACAUGUUACUGAUUUGAGCUGAAAGUUCUCAGUCUGUUCAGCAGAACACCAGGCUGCCACAAACAAGGUCCUUGCUAGGUCAAAGGCCUGAAGUUGACAUCUUUCUUAAAUCUUACUUUUGUGAAAACUAGAAGCACAGGUCAGGGCAGCAAGCUGAUGGCAUUGCCUCUUACAACCGCUGAUUAGAUUAGCUCAACAUUUAUCAGCUACACAGAGACUAACACUUAACCUUUUAACUCAAGAGUUUUGAUGUAUCCUUAUUUUUUAAUGAGGAUGUUAUUGUCCCAAAGUGUUCCUUAAAGCUUUAGUGCAGUUUUUUUCGCCCAUUUAGCUGACUAACAGCCUUUAAAUGCUUUGUAAUUCAAAGUGCAGCGUUUAUAAUUGAGCUUUGUUGUGAGGGCAGAGAUUGAGUGAUUUUGCUCUAGAACAAUUUAUUAUUAUUUUUUUAUUAUUUAUCAACAGAUAUUACUUGUUCAGUUCUAAGAUUUUACUUGUAUCUAUUCCGCUAACCUAAAUUUCAAGGUGUAAUUUAUAGCUAGUUUGAGUGCUAGCUACUUUUUAGCCUAAAUCAUUAACUUAGAAAUAUUUACAAUUGGAGUUUUCCUUAGAAAAGAUGUGGUAACUUACUGCUUUGGAUUUACCUAAUUAUCUGUAACUAAUUCUAAGUAUGGACCCUAAUCACCUGAGUUUUGAAAGCUAAUUCACAUCUGUACAGGGAGCAAAGUUGCCCAUGAUUCCACAUCUAGCAGGCUGGAUUCAAAGUUUUUCUUCUCUGUUGGAAUUCGGGGCCCAUAAGGGAUGUAUUUUGUCAGUUACAAGAGUGGGCAUUACAAAAGACUGCAAAAAAUACCGUCACCAGAUACCUAAAAUAAUCCUGAAUUUACAGAUUGAUGCGAAAAGUUGCAGCUCUUGCUGUGAGAAACCAGCAGGCAGGUGACAAAACACCAGGACAGUGGCAGAUGCAGGACUGAAUGAUUUCUACUUGGGCAAUGCUGAGAUCUCAGUGCCAGACCGAAGUGAAGCCGCAGGUACCUGGGGGCCAUGGUCACUGCAGAGCUGAGUUGGGACCCCAAGUCCCAGGAGUGGCUGGAACAGAUUGCAGCAGUGAACCGUCACCUAGCACUGGGGUAUCAACAGCCUAAAUAUAAAGAAAACUGAAAUAAUGUUGUGAGUAUUCCCUAGUAUAAUAACUACAAAUAGUAAAAUAUCAACUCAAGGACAUAAGAGGAAUAGGUCAGAAAUAAAAAAGUUUUCCAAGCUGUUUUUACUAGGGAACGUUUCAGUUAAGUUAGUAGCAUUAACUAACUUUUGUCCACUACGGUUUAGCUGUGUAAAUCCUAACUGCCAGUUAUUGUACCAUGAGCAACUGAGGACACAGCACCUAUUACUGCCCUUUGACUCCGGGCAUGUUACUUUUUAUUGCAAAGGUCGGUUGGAUGUAGAUUUCCUUGGGACUCUAGCAUCAAGAGUCCUAGUUGGGUACGAGGGAUUUGAUUAGCACACUAGUGUGUGUGACCACAUUUAUAUAUCACCUACUGAAAAUGCACUGUCAGCAAUAAAGAGGACCACCAGUGGGCUAGAAUAAUAUCACUUGUUCUCCUACUUAAAAAUAAACGAAAGGUUGGUUUGGAAGGUAGCUCUUCUUUUUCAUUGCUAGCAGCAUUCUUAUCUCCUUCCUAUGUGUGUGAAAGUGACUUAGAAAGUGUAUUGUAUGAUUUCUGUUUUUAAAUCCGAGUUGGUAAAGAGGAUAGAGAACACUAAUGUUUCCUGGAAAGAAGAAAAAAGGAGUGGUAGGAGAAAUUCCUGUUUAUCUGCUUCUGAUUUCUUGAAAUCGGUUUUGAGAAGCAGCAGUAUUUUCAGUCUGGUUUUCACCUGCCAUUAGCCUGUUAGUUCAGCUCCAUGCCCAAACUACAGUCUGGGUGUUCCAUAGCAGACUACCAUAUCCAUACCUGUGUAAGCAAAACAUUCUUGUUAUGGUCCCACUAGUAAAAACUAUGAUCUUGGAGUCAGAUUCCAGCAUCUGGGGGUGGAAGGGAGAGCCUGACAGCCAUAACUGAACAGAUCAAGGCACAGCUUCAUACCAAACAUAAAAGUUUCAUUAAUCUGGAAGAGAAACAGCAGAAUAGGGACUUGCAUUUUUUAUUACUGAGUCUCAUGUUAUCUAGUCAUACGUCAACAAUUUAUUUUCCUGCUUAAAUUAACCCUUUGAUAUACCCAGAUGACUUCAAAAAAGGAGCCCUAUUUUGAAUCAAUUGUGUUAUUCAAAGCAAACGUUGUUUCCUAAAAGCAUUGUUUCCUAAAGUAUAAUUGUAGACUCUUUAGAAAAUGUAUAGACUUAGCACUUACUUCAGUCUCACUUUAGACUACAAAGUCAAUUUGAAUAUCAUUUGUUAUAUUUGAAAGUGAUUAUUUUAUUGUUAGCAAGCAAAAUGUGAAACAGACAACACGUUUAGCUUUAGUCAAAUUGCAGUUAGAGGAAAUGAAUCUCCUGCUGUCUAAAUAAGUUGAAGUAGUUUGAAACUGCCCAGAUCCUGGAAAUUAAUAAUCUUGUUCUAUGAAAAAACAGCUUGAUAUGAUGAAAUCUGGGUGUAAAGCCAUGGAUGUGUUCUGUAGCUAACAUAAAUGGCAGAGCUUCAUUGCUGUGCCUGGAGCUGUCUGGUUGAGUUGCAAACCACAGUGUAAUGGCAAAAAAAAUUACAAUAUUAAUUGCGUUCUAUAAGCUAACAUUAUUUUAUCACAUAGUAAGAAAACAAGGCAAAUUAACAGUGUUUUAUUGUAUUACGCUCAUUCAGAAAAAAAAAGUCUGUAUGAAUUUAUUGAUACAUUAAAGGAACUCUUGCCUGCUUCUCAGCACUUCCCUUUGAUAACAGUUAAUUUUGAAAAAUGUUUAUAGAUGGUAGGUUGUUGUCAGAUUUAUAUUCUAUUCUUUUCUGUUACUUCCUCUUCAGAGAAGCCACAAAAACUAUAACAAUAAAUACAGUAUUUUACUGCUCCAUAGUAUGUCAACAUUAUUUUUAAGGUUGUAUUCAGUUUGUAGGGACACCAACAUUUUUGCAUCUACAGUAGGCAGGACAGUGUGUAUAUGCUUAAUUCCAGGUGAAUAUGUUAGAUGGUUGUACAACGUGUAUGUGCUAAAAGGUGUAUGAGUUUGGGUGUCUUUAUCUUACUUCAGUAUUUGUGGAUAACCAGCAUGAUAAGGUUUGAACUUUCAGAGAUACUGAGGUUGGGGAUAUGUCAUAUUUCAACAAUUUAGAUUGUCAGCUAUCUAUCCUACCAAACCAGGUGAGUAUAUGUACUGAACCUCAAGCCAGACUUCUCUUAGCGUGAACUUCUACUGACUUCUGUUUAAAUGUAUGUGAUUUAGUGAUAAUGAACGGUCUUAUACUUUCCUUCUUAAAACAACUAAAGUAUUAUCCUCCAAAUUAAGCACUUUAGGUGCUCGGUCACUUCUAGUAGAGGAAAAAAAAAAAGGGCAGUCUGCAGUACAUCAUGUCUGUUUUGUGCUUAUAUAUCCAAGAGUAAGUGGGCUAAAUAUGAGCAAAUACAUUUUUUUUCUCUGGGUAUAUCAGAGGUUAAACGGCUAGGAGAAAGCUCUUUAAGCUUAAAGAUAGUAACAACACACAAGAAAUGUUUCUACCUGUUGAUAAAAUCAGACUAACAGAUUAAGUGUUUUGGACAGGAGAGUAAUAAAGUUCCAAAAUGUUUUUCAAACUGAUUAGUGAAAGCAAAAAAACUAUUUUGCAAUGAACUUCAGUCAGUGUAUGAAAAGAGUGGUUGGGUUUUUUUGCCAAGCUAUAAAUGUAUUACAAAAACUACCUGUUUUUACAGUGAUUUCCAUGUUUUUUUAUUCUUAAAAAUCUUUCAGAAAUCAUGCAACUUUAUCUUUACUCAGCUCAAUGUCUUGCUAAAUUUAAUUUUACUGUAAUAAACGUUGUGUUACAAUAUUAAUGUUGAUUUUGCACAUGCAGAAUCAACUCCCACACUGAAAAUAAGUUUUACAAUUUGUUUGGUUUACAAAACAAAUCAAAAUAAAAAAUACCUCAAAACAAAUAUUUUACAUUCCUUUUAUGCAUUGUAUUGAAGUCCUGAUAAAACUUCUUCUAAAAAGAAAGCAUUUGCCUUCGUGGAAUUGAGGUAACUCCUGUGAAGCUACAGUUGAAACCAGUCACAUUUGCUCUGAGACGGGCAAAUUCUUCUAGUUUGUCCUAUACUUUUCCGUAAUCAAUUAAUGAAUUUAUACUUAAUGUUGACGGGGGGUGGGGGGCAGGGGGGAGUUGGGUGUAGGAUUGGGGAAAACAAACCUUAUUUUAUUUAUCGCAGAUUGUCCGAAAGGCAAAAUUUGUGGAUUAAAAACCAGGGAUAGUGCACAGUUGUAAAGUUAUUCGUGUCUCACAACAUUUGCCUUGGCAUGAGGAAAAACAAAAUUUAGCCAAGAUUAAUUUAGUUUAGGGCAUCCCAUCAUUAGCAUACUCUCACCUAUAGAUACAUAUGUGUUCACGUAUAUGUAAACAUAUAUAUAUAUAUAUAAAACUAUUCCCCUUUUCUAUGCUACUAUAGCAAAAUAGGUUAGCUCCAUAUCUGAGCUUAUUUCCCAGGAAUCUUUUCACAUAUAGUUUAUAAACAACUUUAAGUUAAAAGAUAAGACAGUGAAGUGCAAAAUAAAUAUUGAGUUAAAGUUGUCUGACUGAAAAUGUUUCCUUGGUCACUAAGCUUACCUCCCGUUUUAGGGUGGGGUUUUUUGUUUUUGUUUUUUUUCAUUUGCCUAUUUUCCACGUUUUGGCUUUGGGUUGUUUUAAUAUAUAGAUCAGCCUUGCAUUUCUGGUGGUCUAUUCUGGUGGACUUAUUUUUUUGGUGUCUUUUAACAUUUCCUGUUGGCUGAGCCAUUAAAGCUGAGCCGUUAAAGCAGCCCUCUCAGAAGAUAUGUGCAUGCCUGAGUGUAUUAACAAAGAUAAGCAAGUACUAAAAACCUGAAAAGCUUCAUCAGACUGCAGUGGAGAUAAAUUCAUUUAUGCCAAAACAUUCCCUUUGGUUAUUAGAUAUUAAAAUGACCUGUUUCUUUGAUUUCUGAUAAUAUUCUUCUUUAUUUAAAACUAAUCAUUGUCACUCCAGAAAAUUUGUUUAGGAAUUUUUGUUGACUGCUGAGGGUGGUUUUGGACAGAGAACAAAGUUUUCGUAAGUUUCAACAUUUCUGCUGCAAAAGUCAAAGAGAAAUGUCUCCUUCGGUUCAGCUGAGAAUAUAUCAGUUACUUAGGUGAACUCAAAAUGUUUUAUUUCAUGUAACUUUUACUAAAGCAACAACUGCAGUCCUGUAGUGCGCUGUAUUUAAUGUGGAUGGCUGUUGUGUCUCUGCAGGAUCGUAUCUUUCCUACAACAUUUUUUAAUAGUACAUUGUUAGAGUUGAGGGAGUCUAGCCGCGUCCCAACAUGUUAAAAGAAAGGGGGACGGGGUGAACAGGAAAUGCCAUUUAAUGCUGAAAUAUGUUUCAGCAAAUUAAAAUGAAAAAUUUCUUCUUCAAAAAUUUCAAGUGUUUCAUUUUGAUCAAAAAAUGGCUAAAUUUUAAUGUUGCUAAAUCAAAACAUAGUAGAGUUCCUUUGUUGUGACCUCUGCAUUAAAACUCUUCAUUUUUAGUCUGAUGUCAAACUGAAUGUUAAGGGUUGAGUUUCCCGAUUUUGCUGAGCGAAAGGAAGCAGUGGUACAGCUGAAGCCUAUUCCAGUUCCCACCCAUCAGCAUUUUGCACUGCUUCUCUGGUGCCCGUACAGCUGGGAAUCACAACCAGAAAAGUGACUUCCCGGGACAAAGUUGAAUUCUGAGGGAGUUCCAGUUACAGCAGGGUUUUAUUAGAAGAAAUGCCUACUAGAGAUCCACCUGAGAUCACCAAGUCUCUGAUAACAGUAGCUCUGAAGGGACAUCUAAUGUCCAUCCCUGACUUCUAGUAAGAAAGAGGAAUAUUCCUUAGAUGUGAUUAGCGACUGGUAAUAGCUGCUUUUUUUUUUUUUUUUCACUUUGAAAGCAGUUUUGUUCUCGCUUUUAUUGAAUUUAUGGGAGUGCAGUACAAAGCAGCAUUCAUUACCUACUGUUAAAUCUAGUACUGACAAGUUAUGCAUCGCAAAUAUAAUUCAUUAUCAACUAUUAUUUAGUAAUUCUAUAUUGUUUUGUUUGCAUCUCAUCCUGUUUCUUGUAUUGAUGUCAAAUUGUGAUACAAAAGACAAAUGGAGUUGCUGAUCAAUGACUAAGAUAAAUGCUGAUAUAAUCAAAAUGGCAUAAGAACAGACGAUCCAUUAAGUAGGGAUCACAAUGUAUGCCAAAAAUUAAAAUACACAACUGUGAGAUGCUUUAGUAUCGUGAGAGAUUUCAGUGCAUCUUUUUACCUUCCAUUCUUGUAAGGGAGUCAUGAAUGAGAUGGAGCACUUCAAAACAGGGGUAAAAAUCAGUAGUAUUGAUAGUAAACAAGAGUAUUUAUCAAGAAAAUAAUAAUUUUUUGUUUAUUAAUAUUUUUUUCUUAAUGUUGAACUAUUGCAAAAAUUUCCUUGUCAUCAUGCUGGCCACCUUGCUUUUUCAUAUUGCAUCCUGUGAACUGUCAGUUGACUUAUCUUUACAUUAAUGGGCAGAGCAUUAUUUAUGAGAUGCGUUUUCUUCAAUUGUAUUUGGAAGGUCCCUAUCAUACAGUCCAAUGGCUGCAACUCUUGACUGAAUGGUCAGUAUUUCUUUAUUUGUGUUUUAGUGAGGUAAUCAAAACCAUUUUGUCCCCUACAGGUUUUGAAAAAAAGACCACAUGUAUAAACAGUUUUAUGUAAUAUAUGUGUGUGUACGCACAGCAUUCUUAAGGUUAGGCAGUCUUUUUUGAAGAUACUGUCUGUUGUCAUGGCUUUAUAUUAAACCUACAAAGACAGGGAAUUCAGAAUUAUUGGCCUGUACUUAAUACAGUCAGUGAAUUAUUAUAUCUAGGCACAAAGUGGUAAGUAAAGAUUUUUAGUCUGAUCUCUGAAUUUCCUUGUAGCUGUGGGUUUGUCAGACCUUUAACAAUACACUAAAGUAGGGGGCUAGGGGCUGUGGUUUAAUAUGGACUAAUGCACAUGGCAGAGCUUUUACAUUAGUGCUAUUUCUUUCAAUGCAUUAUAGUGAAAUUGUAUUUUAAAACCAGGCAAACUAUUGAUGCUUUUAUUGAAUGGAAUAAUUUAUUAUAGGAAUAUUUUAGUCUGUUGACAUUUCAUCAUCAAAUAACAGUAAACAUAAUACACAUUUCCCAUAAGACUGCUCUCGAGAGCCAAAUAUUUGCUGUUCACUUAUUGUAAAAGUAGCAUUGUCAUAAUUAGUCUUUGGGCAAGACAAAAAAUAAAUGUUUAACAAUGAUCUUUUUAACAUAGAGAGAUAAGUCAGAAAUAUUCCAAAACAAGUUUGCUCACUACUUCCAAUUAAUGUUUUAAAAACUGGCAGUUACUUUUACAAUUCAUUGAUUUUCUCUUUAGUCAUUGAAAAAAGCUAAUCAAGCUAAAAUAUUUAUUGUAAAUUAAGAGCUUCAUAUUUAAACUCACCUAUCUGAUAAUACACUAAAAUUGUUGCAUUUGUUUCUCUUCUUUUAUGGAAAAAUCCUAAGCAUAUAUAAUAUUUCACUUAGUCCCUUAUAAGGUGGCUGCUUGCUCCUCAUGUAACUUCUCUGAGACCAUUUAUAUGUCUGAAAUGGGGAGAACAGUUAGGUGUCAUCAUUUAGUAUGCCCUUAUUUGUCAUCAGCCUUCAUUGCAAAUUUGUUGGCAAGUGCUAGUUAAUGCUGAAUGAGGACUGUGGUUUAACAGUCUGCUUUUCUGACGUCAUGCUUUUUGGAUUUUUAUUUUAAUUGUUGUCUAGAUAUUUCACACUACUGCUUUAUGUAUGUUUUUUCAUUUUCGUCUUCACAAAGACUAAAUCUACCUUAACAGUAUAUUCUGUAAACCUUUUUGCAUCUCUCAUGCCUCUUAUUUUUUGUUUAAGUAUGCCAGAAACGUGUUAUAUGAGAAAGAUUCUUGGUAGGAGCAGUCUAUGGAAGUAGAGGUAGCUCUUUCUUCACACUUUGAAUCUAAUUUCUGACACUUUAUGGUUCAUCCUUACAGUAAAUACUUUUGUUCUAUAAGUGACUGGACAGGGAAGACAAAGGCACUGAGUGUACACUCUUUUUUUUCUGGAAUAACCACCCUCUUUUUUACUCAUUCAGUUGGUAGGUGACCGUAAAGAAUAUUGCCUAUGUGUGUGUCUCUGUAAUUCAGUUUUAGACAUGCUGAAGCAUAAAUUCACUAGGUAUACAAACACAAAGUUAAGAACUGUAAUAAAGUGUGUGCAUAAAAUGGUGGUUUUGCUGUCACAUUUGAUUCAGUUGCUAUUGCUUUGUUCAGUUUUACUGACAAGUUAAGCUCAUUUGUAAGCAAAAAUGUUCAGCCCUAUUCAGCCAUUCUUACUGCGGGCAAGUUUGCUGGAGGUGGCAGGCCUUGCAUUAUACUCCAUUAGUAGGCAGCCCACCUGUCACACUUAUCGCUGCCAGAAAGUUGUUUUACAGGUAAAUAUUCUCCACUGAGAAUUUUAUGCCUUCAGUUACUGUUACGUUUGUUCUGUGCUUUACGAACUGCAGUAUCCACUUGGAGUUCAAUUCUCCAGGUGGUCCCAGGAACCUUUUAUGAGCUAUGUACAUUACAACCAGAACCUUAGGAGGAAUCCAGAAACUAGAAGAGUUUUCUUGUCUUUAUGUAUUUAUCUUCCAAGCCUAGAGAAACUUCGCAACUUGUAGAUUUUACCUUUGAUAAAAAUCAGUCAGUCCAUUAUUAUUUAUGAAAAUUAAAUUAUUAAGCUAUGACUGCGUGAAAAUAAACAAUGGUUAAUAUUCAUAUUGCUCAUUUGAAAAGAAGAUUCUUUUUAAUCCUGCCUUCUUUAAAACUCUUUGUCUUUACAGAUUCUGAAUAACUUUCUGUUAUUUUAUAAAUAUAUAUUGUCUUAUACAGACAUUUGUCUUUGUUCCUCAGGUUGGGAAAAAGCAUUUUAGUCUGUAUUUAAUUUUGUUAGUAGUGGUGGUAUUUCAAAUUGCUUGAGAGCAUGUUUUAUGUUAUUAGUUCCAUGUACUGCAUUUAAAAAUGUGUAAGAUUUUGCCACCAUGUCUAGUACCCAGCUAUCAUAAACACCAUGUCUUAUAACCUUUUGUUAAACUUACCGAGUGAGAUUUUAAAAUAAUUUGAAGUGAUUUGGUCUCACUGCCCUCACUGAAAGUUUUUUCUAGACCCAGAGCACUGGUCUCCCUGAUGUAGGGGACAAUUACUUGUCUUUUCAGCCUCUGCUCUCCUGAGCUGGAAAGGCCGAACUCAUCUGGUCUUUCCUAUGAGGAGCUGCUCAUAGCUGCGGUAGCUUUGCUCCCUUUGCUCCGUACCUGGCUAUUACGUGUCUGUCUUGAAUGACCUGUCUAGAGCUUCCAGAUAAGGGCAAAACAAGUCUUUAAGGAUAGGCAAGAUUUCUAGAUUUUUACUGAAAAUCUUUCUCCCAGCCCUUCAUAGGAUUAUUUUCCCCUUUCCUUAGCUGCAUCACUUUGUGAACGUGUAGCACUCAACUGUAUUACAGAUUGAUUCCUUCUUCCUCUGGGAAAGCGGAGGGGAAUAUAAUUUCUGUAUUACAGGUUGUAUAUCUAUGUGUAAGUUUGAAAAGAACUGUAUCUAUAUUUUGGGCAUGUUAAAGUAAAAUUGCAGAUUGUGCGCGAAAGUCAGAAUAGUUAUCGGCAGUAAAAAAGUGGAUAACUUGAACACUGUCUAAAAUGUUUGGUUUGGUUUCUGGGUCUUUGCAACAAAUGUUCUAAGAUUGAUCAUGGCUGCCAGACAGUGCUAUCAACAAGGCAAAAGUUUUUCUUUACUGUCACCACAUCUGCUCUUUUAUUAGAUUUUGUUUAUUAUGUAUUUACACAGUAGUGAUCCAAAUAUAGCAUCUGGUUUGGGUUUGUUUUGUUUUCUAAGAAGUGAAAUACAGUUUGGGUUCCUCUAACGUAAAUAUUAGACAAUGUCCCAACUCCUGCAGUAUAUAAGCAAGGUACUGUGCAAAUGCACAAUUGUCCUUAAAUGCCCAUGGAAAAAGAUUACAAAUCUAUCAGGUUUUAUCCAUCGUUUUUCAUAGUCACAGGACAGACUUUUGUGCAAAGUAAACCAGUGUAAAAACCAAUCAACUUAUUUUACCCUCAGUAAUAACAUGUUGCUGCCUGUAUUACCUCACAGCAUGUCACAAGACGUUGUUAUGUGCUACUCAGUUAUAUUUCAUUUAUUCCAGAAACUCAUCAAGUCACUUCAGUAUAAGACUUUUUAAAAAAUUAAAAAUCACUCAGUACCACAAAGCUCUUUAAAGCCAGAUUUCCAUAAAUUUGCACAAUGCUAAAUAUUGGCAGUGUUAAGCAAAUGAGAGCAAGUAAGUACAUUAAAGUGGAAACAUUACUUAAGCAAAUAGAAGCUAUUCUAUACUGUUCUGUACCAUUUUUAUCAAAAAUUAUAGAAAUUAUAUGUGGCCUGACUUGAUUUUUUUUAGUUAAAGAACUGUUCAAAAGUGCCUGUAGGCAAUCAAGAAAUUCUAACUUAAUUUUUAAGUCUUACUUUUGCUGGUUCAGCUGGAAUUGUAGCUCUCUUAAUCUCCUGAAUUUACCGUUUUUCUGCUGUUGCCAUAGUGAAAUCAGGUAGAGCAGGCAAAGCUGCACUCUUUCUUCUCUUUGAACUUAACUGAAAAUAAUGCUUAAUCUGUUGGUAUGGCUUUAGAAAUAGCUUUUAAAAAUGUUAAUGUGGAUUUAGCAGUUGUGGAGAGGGAGAGAUAUACCAGUCUCUGAGUGGAAGUCCCAUUUACCCUCAGUAGAUAUAUAAUACCUGUAUGAGCAGCGCAAGGUUUCCUUUACCAGUUCAUCCUAGCGCUUUAGGCCUAGGAGGCUUGAGGAAGAUAAUGUCUGUGCCUGCACCCAUUCAUACAUCGUGCUGCCACGUACUUCCGAGGAGAGGAGGAGUAUGGGACAGCUGGGUUUUUUGACUGGGUAACUAGUUUUUAUAACCAGGACAGAACAUCCCACAUUAUUUCAAGUGAUAAUCAGUCAGUCUGGAUCUCAGUAGCCUGAAGGGAAUAAUUGUGCAAUUAGAGGAAUUCCGCGCGGCAAAAUGGUGCUGCAAAGCUCCAAAUCCCACUGUCGAUUCAUCUCAUUCCUCAGAAAGAUGGGGUCACACUUGCUGAGUGUAUUGAUAUUGGCAGACAGUAAUAUGUAAUGUCUAGCUAAGGUGUAUGAGUCUAUUGUGCAGAGGCCUACCUGUAAGUCAAUUCAGUUAUUUAAAACUACAUGUAAAAGUUAUCUUGAGUGUAGAAAUACUAAUACUAAUACUAAUUUGUAAAAAACAUGAUGCCUCAAAGGUGCAAUGAGAGAUUUUCAAAUUUUUAGCAAAAGUCAGGGGUUGGUAUGGAGAGAUCCUAGAAGCAAAAGGAAACCAUUCAAAUUGCCUGAAUGUUCACUGACUCUUUAAUUUAAUGAGUUGUGGUUGUUCUCCCUUCUCAUUUUUUGACUCUACUUUUUUAUUUUGUUGUUUGGGGUUUUUUUGUGUUUUUUUUUCCUUUCGGGAAACCCCUCUCUUUGCAAGAGUGCUGUAAGCUGAAGGGACUGACAGAAAAAAUAUCUUAAGUAUGCUUUAUUGUCUAUAUUGGGCUUCCAUUACUCAGUUCAAGUUGAGGGUGUCAUUCCCAUCUUCAACAUACUCAGUGAUCGGUGCUCAGGGUGGAGCAGAUGGAAACCUUAUGUCAGCGCCUCUCCUUAAGCUGCAUUAUGGCUGUUCAUGGCAAGUGGAUUUGUGUGAAAGACAGCUUUCUUGGGAGGUUCCUGUCAGAGUACAGCAACCGUGGAAUUCAGGAACCACUUUUAACCUCUGUCCUUCAUUACGUUUUGAACGUAUGGCAUGCUUGAAAGGUAAAUAAGAAACAAAAAAACUCCUCUCAAGUUUUAGCUGACAAGGGAAAGACAGCUGCCCACGACAGAUACUAAUCUUAUCACUUAACGUACUUACUCUGAGCUUUUAGGUGAUGUGAGAACCAGAAAACAAGAAGGUAACUGCUCAGGUGGAAGUUAGCCAAGUCUCAGGUUGGUAAAACUGGUUGGCAUUUGGCUGUUUACAAUGAUCCAAGCUAUGUCCUUGCAAGCUUAAUUUAUCUUUGGAGGGAAAAGCUAUAUUUCACUAAUUUUCUUCUUGUUAUUACAUUUCUUUCUUAUUAGUUUUGCUUUUGUAAUAAAGGGAGCAGAACUGAAUAGGACUAGCAGCUCAAUAACUCAUGUUUUUUCGGUUUCAUUUAAAAAGAGACUGCUGGUGCUGUCUUUGAUGCCCUUAGAAGGCUGCCAACCAACAAUAUUCUUUUAUAAAAUACAGUGCAUAUAAGAUAAAACUAAGGCAAACAGUUAAGGCAAAAAGAUAUUUCAGUACCGGAAGUUUUAUGUUUAAUGGACAUUUUCUUCUUUUGUGUUUUCUUAAAAUGUUUAAACUAUCUAGCAAUUAUGGUUACCAGACAGCUAAAUCAGCAAAAUCUGAGAAAAAUCCUUGUAACACACAUAAUGUUAAUAUUGAAACAUUUUUCAUGGGUUUUAUUAAUAUCUUGCCCACUGAUGAUGCCAGACUCCCAUUUUUAGUACAGUAGUUUUUAUGGUGUCUUCCAAUUUAAUAGUAUAACUGUAUAUAUUACACUGACCGUUUGGAAAAACAAACAAAACAAAACACAUGAUCACUCUCAAUUUGUCUGGAACUUGUCUGACAGGAUUUUGCUAUAUUUAAUACAGAGACCUUGUGGCUAUUUGGAUAGUAACCUUCAUACCAUCUUUGGGAACAGCUGAUAUAAAUGCUGUAUAUAGAGUGACUUGACACAAGAGCAAUCUAGCAAUGGCAUGGCAAAGAUUAAUUAAAAAAAAAAAAAAAAAAAACACCACCACGGGAAUAUGGAGUCCAAUUUGUCUUCCACCAUUUUCAACAUGUUAUUAUAUGAGGGAAAAUAUUCCUACUACUGUGAUUUUGUCAUGUUGCUGACUUCUGACUCAAUUCUCAUCAGACAUGGGUUGUAAUAUGUCACUGACUACCUCGACUAAUUUGCUAUUGCUUUCAGACCUUCCUCUGAUUCUUCUCCCUCCCUCUAGACUUGGUUACAUGGCAAUAUACAUUUCUAUAUCAUCCUUUUGAACAGAAUUCUGUACCUUAAUAGUGAACCUGGAAAGGUUCCGUGCAUGGUAAGCAAAGAAAGUCGAAAUUAAAUUGUUUCUAGUGGUGAUAUAUACUAAGAAAGACCACAUAACUUGUAAAUAAAUCUAAACAGCUUUAUGAAUUUUUCAGAAGGUAUAUGCAGUGUUUGACUGAUAGAUACAAAUAAAGAAUGUGUGUGUGUAUAUAUAUAUAUAUAUAUAGUGAAGGAGACAGAAGGCAAAAAACUGUUCCUUAUGGAAAAGGAAAGCAAGUUUCUUUGCACAUCCCCAGUUUUGCACUUACUUUAUCUAAUAAUGAAUGUAACAAUUCUGCAAAUUGCCUUGAUGGUCUUCUAAAGUCUCUAGAGCAGUCUCCACCUAAAACCAUGUGAAAUGUCCUUGUAGUCUUCUGAGAGAGCGGAUAUUUUGCAAGUGAUACAGCUUGCUACUUAAGACAUAGCCCAGGAUGCACUCUUCGUCCAAAUAACAAACAAGUAAAAACUAAGUUAUUUUUCAAUAUGAAGUAGGGCAGGGCCAAAUUGGGUUGUACAGAUACUGUGUGUAUGUAUCAACUGGGAGACAAGCUGAAGAGCCUCAGGCAUCACACCCAGGUGAUAGAUUCGUAAUGAAAAGAGUGAAUGCCAGGCACAAGUACAGCUUGCCAGCAGAUUCCAAAGUCAGCAACAAUAUUCCAGGUUGGAGGAGGUGUUUGCUUUCCUUCUGGGUGGACAUCAGGUGCCACAGUAAUGGGCAACAGACGUAGUACUUUCUUUUUCAUCUGUUCCCUCCUUAAUAUGGAUAGGAGACUCGCACUUUGAGAGACAGUAAAUUUAAGUACAGCAUCACACAUAAAAUAUUUCUGCCUGUCAAUUAUGCACAAUAGUGUGUUUGGCAGUUAACUGCUAAGCAACGUUGUGUGAAGGUACUCAGUGUGAUUUACUAUCCAGUCUUGGACUAAUUCUGUGAUCUGGGAAGUUGGAAGCCCAAAUGAGCUGUCCUCCAUUUGUUAAUUCAUCUGUUACAUUGUUUGUUUUAUUGUAUAUUUGUGUAUAAGGAUUUGGAGAUACGGAAUUGUCUAAUAAUUCAUUCAAAAUGUCUUGAGGUAGCUUUAAUGCUGGUUCCAAGAUUUAUACUCUGCAAAUGCUAAACACACAGCUAUACAGUGCAUUUAUUUAUCAACAUUUUUGCUAUCUGAACGACUUUUCCUAUUAGUUUGGUUCUAUUUUACAAUAAUUAUUAAACAAAAAUCAAAUGCCAUGAGAGCAGUUCUGCUUCCUCUGUUAAAUGCACUUUUGGCAUUUCCUUUCGCUCUGGCAAGUGCUGUCACCAGAUAAACAGCUGCACAGAAAGAAAGGAUUGCUGCAAACUAUGAGGCACUCACAGAUUAUUCAGAUAUCAUCUUGCACUGGCCUUAGGAUGGCCUGUUACUUCCAGCCCUAAAAAUAAACAACUAUUAAUCAGCUAAUGGCAACAUGAGUUGACCAGCACUUAUGGCUGCCUGGACCUCAAUCUAAGCAUACUCAAAAGCUUUUCUCAUGUUUUCUAUCACCUGGGAUAAGAGGUAGUUUGCAGCCAAGCGUUCCUUUGGGAGGACUGAUGUGAAUAUAACAAAAUGUUUGAAAUAGGCUCAGUAACUUCUCUCAACACUGAUCCACAGCUUCAAAUGUGCAGAAUCCAACAAUAGCGGCUUUGCAUCAACUCUCUCUGGAGAGUGAACUAAUGGCUUAAGGUUUUCUCAGGAAAACUGAGUAACAAGCAAGGACCUCAGGAAGCACCGUUCUCUGCCUGGGUUUAAUCAGAAAGCAUCGCUUCCAGCCACAAUCUAUGGAAUAAUUCUGUAAUGCAAACAACCCCCUUUUCAAAGGAUAGCAACGCUCUUGCAUUGUCUUCACUGAUCAAUACAAGUAGCACAACUUAAAUAGAAGUAACAUAGCUUUAGUAAUCUAGUCGUCAAAGUGCACAUUGCAGGAUGGAAGGUAUUGCUGCUUUGAACAGAAACACAUCAAUGCACUUGUAGAGGUACAGUGAAACAAUAUUCUAACCUUGAAUCGUAAAAGACAAAUAUGUAAAUGCAACAGCUAAUACAGAGUAGUAGAUUAUCUCCAUCAGAAAAGAAUUUAUUACACUUCUUGGGGGGAAAAAAAGGUGUAGAAAGCUUUCUUAUAUUGUACAUUCAGAUUGAGAUUUUUUGGUCGAGCUCCUUUUGCUUAGUUAUACCCAUCAUCCAGGGUGCCUGAAGUCACUUUGCUCUGUAUUGACAUGGUUAAGUGAUUUCAAGCAAACUUGGACCUAUCUGCAAAUUACCAAGUAAGGUACCUGGAACACUGCCUAUUACCUCUUUUAGAUAGAUACUGGAACUGACUUCCCAGGCAGCUAAAAUGCAUUCAUUUCCAAAAUGCACACCCAAGUGAUAACCACUAAAACCAGAGACAACUUUGGCCAUAAUUUCCAUAAUUUGGCCAUAAUGUCUAAAAUGUUGGUGUGAGUACCGCGUUAAUUUUCAGUACCUCAGCCCAGUCCUGCAGUGCAGGCGGAAGGGGCACCUCACAGUCUCUGUUUACAACACAAAACCUUACAGUCGGAUGUGCAAAGCGUUCACCUGAUUUUGAAAAAAGAAAAGUUUUGCAUUAAGUACACACAGGCACUUUGAAAGAUGAACAUCUGGAACGCUACUAAUAAACAACAAAAUCAUAUGUUUCAAUAGAAGUUAGGACAUGAACCAACAAAAUUUGAGAAAUUCAAAGUUCACUCAAGGCUCUCAUCUUACUGACAAGCUGCCUUGAGCCAGUAUGUGUUUUCUUUCUCACUCACUGCAUCAGUCUUCACUUAGAAAGCCUUGAUCCUUGUAAAUCAGUGUAACCUUAAUGUUAUUUAAUCAUAGCUUUCAAAAGUUAAUUUCCAUGAGAACUAUAUUUUUAAAAAACCCUAACUUGUCAUUGAGGAUUAUAAAAAUCCUUUAUUUGCCUGGAGAACAGUACUCAGAUCUGAAUGAAUAAGUGUAAGUGAAUAAUGUGUUUCGACAGUUUGUGUAUUAAAGAUAUAUUAUGCAGCUAAAAGUUAUAUUGUAUUUACAAUAUUUUAAUGACAGUGACUUGCACAGAUUUUGGUGCAUCUAAUAAUAAGCGUUUAAAAAUUGUGCUAUGCAAAAUUCUAAAAUAUUUUAAACUGUCUUUUAUAUCCACAUAAAUAUCACUUGACUUGUUUCUGUUUCUCCAAAUGCCGAAAGCAAUUAAAUCAUACUAUAAGCCUGAUAAAAUGCUGGUAAUUGAUUGAUGCCUUAACAGCCUCAUUGCAGAAAUAAAAAUACAAUUAAUAUUAAAUUUAAAAAUAUAUAUAUCAUUAAGAUUUAAUUAUAUCCAAGAGACGUGAGACUAUAGAGACAGAGGCCCGAUAUUAGUUUUCAUCCACCUUUUUUUCACCUGACAACUCCAACUUCCACGUCAACUGCAUAUAUAAUAACAUCAAUAUCUGGCAUUCAUGGAAAUGCCUACCUUUCUCAGCCCCAAAGAAAUUCCCACUUUUGAGUCAAAACCUCCUUGGAAAUGGGAGUCUCACACAAUAUUAAUAGACUUUAAUUUUUUUCCUUGUCUUCACUGAAAGUAAGUUUUCCCCCAACUACUGUGGUAACAUCAAAGCUUAAAGCAGAUUAGGUUUUACUUGCUUAAUUUUACCUUAAGCAGCAUAAACUGGAUGCCUGGAUCCUUAAGACAUAAUACGCUGCUAACUUCUGUGUGUGAGGCUUGAUAUAGUGCUUACUAGUUUCCUGUUAUCUUUAAAAGUAUGUCACCAGGACUUUUUAAACUUUGCCAGCAAAUAUAUUUUUCUGUAGUUGCUAGUGGAGGAAGACAAUAUUAAGUAGCUUAAGGGCGCUGGGCCCAAAAAUAUUGUAGCCUUCUGAGUUACAGGUUCAGAAUCACAUUUUUAAAGUAAAAAAAAAUCAUUCAGUUACUUGAUUUUACUAAGUACUGGGUUUUUUUUUUUUCUUUCUUUUGACCAGAUUUGGUGAAGUCAAAUAAAUAAGGUGCUGUGUAAUGCCUGGAAGGCAUCUUUUGUUUAAAUCAGCAUGUGUGUGUGUCACUGGCUCACAAAAGUGUGUGGAGGAUUGAAAAAGUGAUGUGGAUAAUAAACCCCACAGUUAUCUUUAAAUUGCGUUCAGAGUUUUUAAAAAGCACUGUCUUUAGGCACAAGUACUCUUAUUUGAGUUUAAAAUUCUAUAUAAAUUAACAGUAGCAGAAAUACUACUGUGUUAUAAACUAUUCUGAACUAGGCUUCUAGUAGCUGUUUAAAUGGAAAAAUUUCUUGCUAAUCAAAGUCAGUUUCUGAGCAGUGGCUAUUAAAUGUUUGCCAAGAUAUAUAGCGCUGUGUCAUCAGCAGUAGUUAAGUGGUCUAGACGUAAGGAAGUUGGCUGGCUGAUGCCAAUUGACCUUACUUGAAAAUGUGGUCGCAGUUGUUGCCUACUAGCCGGGCUCUGCCAAUAUCUAAAUUUUCUCCACUGACACAAAUGAGACUUCUACAAGUAUGCUAAAAUAAAGUUGUGAGUCUCUAAACAGUAAACUUAUUAAAUGUUAUCGGGGGUUUUAAUUAUUAUAUCUUCAGGGUUUAUUAGUACUACAUAACAACUGUGAUUCCCAGGAACCAUGUUAAAUUGUCUGAGAAUGUAAUAAUUUAUUUGUGAUUUUUUUGUAAUUUCCUUUUCCCAGGAAAUAAGUAGUGAUGUGCAAGUGGUAAUGCUCUAGUAUUCUUGAUGUUUAAAAAGAAAAACAGGGAAACAAAGUCAGAUUUUUUGCGGACACUGUUGAUGAUCUGAAGUUAAAAAGUGAGGGACCAGAAUGUGGUCCCUCGAAGACACAUUCAGAUGUCACCUUCAAAAUUAAAACCACCAUCCAGGUAGACUGUUAUGCUUUUGUACAUGAAUACUCAGCUGGAUCUGUUUGAUAAAAUAUUUGCUUAAAUACAUGCACAUUAGAAAUAAUAAUUCAUGUGCCAGCAUUUCAUUAUGAGAGUCUCUUGGAAUUGAAAUUAUUUACAUUAUGCUGAGAUGCAUCUAUAACAAAUAGACUAAGAAUAAAUAAAGUGAACAUUUAUUUUAAAACAAUUGCAAGAUGUUUUACAUUUCUGCUCAGUAUCGAGCAGUGUGUUGAAAAUGCAUUUUUCAUAAAACCACAUGCAAGGCUUUUUGAUGGUGAAAAAAUCCACUCGUAACAGCCACAUGUCUAGGCAAAUCCUUAGAAGCUAGUACGGACCCCACACAGACUUUCCAGAAGAAAAGACAUAGUAGUUUCUCUUGAAGUGAAGUAGAAUAUGUGUGAGCCUACUAGGCCACUUUGAUAAAUAAAUAAGAGUAUUUUUUCUUUCUAGCACAAAACUGGUUCAACUGGAGGGCAAGUUAAACCCAGAUUCAGAUUUUACUUAGGUUUUUCUUUCUCUUUUCUUUCUUAAGUGAUCCCUUGGCUUAUAUGAUGAUACAAUUUAUUUAAAAAAAAAAAAAAAAAGAAA